rnacentral:rRNA from 1 species
CCUACGGGGGGCUGCAGUGGGGAAUAUUGGACAAUGGGGGGAACCCUGAUCCAGCCAUGCCGCGUGUGUGAAGAAGGCCCUCGGGUUGUAAAGCACUUUCAGUGAGGAAGAACGCCUGGUGGUUAAUACCCAUCAGGAAAGACAUCACUCACAGAAGAAGCACCGGCUAACUCCGUGCCAGUAGCCGCGGUAAUACGGAGGGUGCGAGCGUUAAUCGGAAUUACUGGGCGUAAAGCGCGCGUAGGUGGCUUGAUAAGCCGGUUGUGAAAGCCCCGGGCUCAACCUGGGAACGGCAUCCGGAACUGUCAAGCUAGAGUGCAGGAGAGGAAGGUAGAAUUCCCGGUGUAGCGGUGAAAUGCGUAGAGAUCGGGAGGAAUACCAGUGGCGAAGGCGGCCUUCUGGACUGACACUGACACUGAGGUGCGAAAGCGUGGGUAGCAAACAGGAUUAGAUACCCUUGUAGUC